UACGAAGGGGGCUAGCGUUGUUCGGAAUCACUGGGCAUAAAGCGCACGUAGGCGGAUGUGUCAGUCAGGGGUGAAAUCCCGGAGCUCAACUUCGGAACUGCCUCUGAUACAGCACGUCUUGAGUUCGAGAGAGGUGGGUGGAAUUCCUAGUGUAGAGGUGAAAUUCGUAGAUAUUAGGAAGAACACCGGUGGCGAAGGCGGCCCACUGGCUCGAUACUGACGCUGAGGUGCGAAAGCGUGGGGAGCAAUCCGG
rnacentral:rRNA from 1 species